AUUGAACGCUGGCGGCAUGCCUUACACAUGCAAGUCGAACGGCAGCACGGGAGCUUGCUCCUGGUGGCGAGUGGCGAACGGGUGAGUAAUACAUCGGAACGUACCCUGAAGUGGGGGAUAACGUAGCGAAAGUUACGCUAAUACCGCAUAUUCUGUGAGCAGGAAAGAGGGGGAUCGCAAGACCUCUUGCUUUAGGAGCGGCCGAUGUCGGAUUAGCUAGUUGGUGAGGUAAAGGCUCACCAAGGCGACGAUCCGUAGCGGGUCUGAGAGGAUGAUCCGCCACACUGGGACUGAGACACGGCCUAGACUCCUACGGGAGGCAGCAGUGGGGAAUUUUGGACAAUGGGCGCAAGCCUGAUCCAGCCAUGCCGCGUGAGUGAAGAAGGCC
rnacentral:rRNA from 1 species